rnacentral:rRNA from 1 species
CCCUGCCAUUUGUACACACCGCCCGUCGCUGCCCGGAACUGAGCCGUUUCGAGAAAGCUGGGGACUGACGGCUUGUGGGUGCGCAAGCACUCUUCGCUAUUGGAAACCAGUUUAAUCGGUAUGGCUUGAACCGGGCAAAAGUCGUAACAAGGU